GUUGAAACACCGAUUCUCAUCCGAUCACCGAAGUUAAGCAACGUUGAGCCUUGUCAGUGGCUAGAUGAGUGACCGCUUGGGAAUACCAGGUGCU